CGUAGCUUAACGUAAAGCAUAGCACUGAAGAUGCUAAGAUGGGUUUGAAAGUAGCCCCGUUCUGC
rnacentral:tRNA from 1 species